rnacentral:rRNA from 1 species
UACAGGAGGUCUCAAGCGUUUGUUCGGAUUCAUUGGGGCGUAAAGGGUGUGUAGGUGGCGCGCUGAAGUACGGGUUGUGAAAAUUUCGGAAGCUUAACUUCGAAACUGGCAUUCGAUACUGGCGUGCUUGAGGACUGGAGAGGAGACUGGAAUUUACGGUGUAGCAGUGAAAUGCGUAGAUAUCGAUGAAGGAAGACCAGUGGCGAAGGCUGGGUCUCUGGACAGUUC